CUGAGAGCAGAGUUAACAACAAAUAUAUCAUUUUCUUUAAUCAGCUCAUGCUUCAGAGAUGAGUGAUCUCUGUCUUUGGGAUUGUGAACUUGGGAGCAGUUCAGUAUACAGUGUGGCUGGUCAGAGAAGUUUCCAAAGGAGAUGAUUGACUCGCCUUUCAAAAGAAUUCUGUUACAGGGGAUAAGUACAUCAUUUCCAUGGUGACCGGUGAUGUAGAGAAGACACAGGAAAAUUGACCACUAACAAGUUAUAUCCACUGGAUUGAAUGCCAUAAUGGAUGUGAAACACUCAUCUUCACUUUUUACAUGAAAAGAAGAGGAAAUCUGGAUACACAGAGGCACCAAUGAUACUCAGAGAAGAGUUCAUGUGAAGACACAGCAGGGAGGUGGCCACAUGCAAGACAAAGAGAGCAGUCUCAGAAGAAAUCAACCCUGCCAACUCCUAGUCUUGGACUUCCAGCCUCCAGGACUGUGAGAAAAUAAACUUUUUUGUCAUUUAAGCCCCCCAGGCUGUGGUACUUUGUUAUGGCAAGUUGACUUGACCAAUUAAUCGCCUGUAAUUAUCUCAAUAAAUAAAGAAGAAGCACUUGACAAAAUUCAACAUGUUAAUUUUUAAAAUUCUAACAGAAAAAAAUCUGCAGAGCUUUAUGUAGUUAUCAAAUAAGAUCUUAAAUCUAACAUCCAAAUUUAAUGGUGAAAGGCUAUGCUAUUGUUCAUGAAUCAGGAACAAAAUAAAGAUGUCUGUUUCUGUUACUUUUAGACAAAAUUUUGCUAGAGCUAUUAGCAGUACCAAAAAGGACGAAAAGGGGUUAAAAAAUGAACAUAGAUUACAAAGACCUAAAACUCCAUCUAUUCAUACACAACAUGAUCAUUUAUAAAGAAUAUACCAAGUUAUCUACAAAAUAACAAGAAAAUGAGUUCAGCAAGUUUCCAAGGAACAAGUUAAAUAAACAAAAUUAAAUUUAUUUUUAUGCUUGUGCUAUAAAUAUUUGGAAAGGAAAAUUAAAACAAUGUGUAAUGCUCAAAAGCAGCAGAAAAUAUGACACACUUAGGAUGAAUUUAGUAAAGCAUGUAAUAUUUGUAGACUAAAAAAGAAAUCAUUGAUGAAAUUAAUGAAAUAAAACAUAAAUUAGCACAGUAAAUCACCAAGAUUCAAGAGAAAAUAUAGAUAACCUUAGAUUUGGCAAUGACCUUUGAGGUACAAUACAUAGCUCAUUUCUUUCUAUUCCUGAAUAUUAUUUGUAUCACAAGUUCAAUUUAUCACUUUUUUUCAUAUUUCAUAUUCACUUUUUUAUCUUCUAUUAAAAAAGUGAUACAUUGAACUUCAUUAAAAUUGAAAACUUAUGCUGUGCAAAAUAUACUGUUAAUAGAAUGACAAAACAAGUCAUAGACAGGGAGAAAUCAUUUUUGAAACACAUAUCUGAUUAAGACUUGUAUCCAAAAUUUACAAAAAACACUUAAAUUUCAAGGAUAAGAAAUGAAAAAAACAACCCAACAAAAAGUCAGCCAAAGAUCUGAAGAGAUAUCUCACCAAAAAAGAUAUGCACAGGUUUGAUAAACAUAUAAAAAGAGGCUCAACAUCAUAUGCCUUUAAAGAAUUAAAAAUUAAAACAAUGAGAGACCACUAGACACUUUUUUAGAGUGGCUAAAAUCAAAUACUGAAAACACUAAAGGAUGACAAGGACGUGGAACAACAGUAAUUCUCAUUCAUUGCUGAUGGGAAUGCAAAAUGGUACAGCCACUUUGGAAGGCAAUUCGAUGGUUUCUUACAGAACUAAACAUAUUAAUCCAACAGUAUCAAUAAUUACAUUAAGUUUAAUCUUACCAUAGGAUCCAGCAACUGUGCACCUUGAUGUUUACCUAAAUGAGUUGAAAACUUGCAUCCACACAAAAAAUCUGCACUUGGAUGUUUAUAGCAGCUUCAUUCAUAAUUGAUCAAACUUGGAAACAAACAAGAUGUCCUUAAUUGGGUCAAUGAAUCAGCAAACAGUGAUGCAUCAGAGGAUGGAAUACUAUUCAGGAAUAGAGACAAAUGAGCUAUCAAGCUAUGAAAAAACAUGAAGGAACCGUAAAUGCAUAUUUGUAAGAAAGAGAGUAUGAACGUCCACAUACCACAUGAUUCCAAAUAUAUGACAUCUCAAAAAAGGCAAAACUACAGAGACAGUAAACAGAUCAGUGGCUAUCAGGAGUUUGGAGGGGAGAGAAGAGGAAUAAAAAGGUGUAGCUUAAAGAGAAAUUUUAGGGCAGUGAAACUAUUCUAUCUGACACUGUAUGGUAAAUGACACUAAACAUUUUUCAACACCCCAAAAAACUGUACAACACCAAAUGUAACCCCUACUGUAAACUUAGUACUUUAGUUUACAAUAGUGUAUCAACGAAGGUUCAUUAAUUCUGUCUAAUGCACGACACUAAUAUAGGAUGUUAGUAACGGGGAAAUUGUCUUCAGAGGGAGAGGGUGUAUGCGGUAGUUGCGUGUACUUUCUCCCCAACUCUUCUGUGAACCUAAAACUGCCAUAAAAUAGUAUUUUAAAUUAAAAAAGUAAAACAACUACUGAACUUCAAAAUUACAUUCAUGUCUCUGAAACGUUAUGCUGAAUGAAGUAAGCCAGACACGAUAGGCUAUAUGAUACAUGAUCCAUUCAUCUAAAAUUCUAAGAAAUAAAUCUAAUCUAAAGGGACAAAAUUAGACCAAUGUUUGGCUGCUGCUGGAUGACAGGAAUAGUGACUAUAAUGGGAAAUAGGCAAAUAUUUGGAGAUAUAGAAACUGUACCUUCCUCUGGUGGUGCUUGCAUAGGUAUAUAUAUCUUACAUUUGUAUUUACCUUAAGUUAUUAUAAAUUAAUAAAGGGGAAAUUAAAAUGCAAAUUAUGAUCCAUGAAAUAUUUAAAAUGCUGAGAACUUUGGUAUCCAAUUUGCAGGCUACGGACAGAGUCUAAUUAAAUAAUAUUUAAUCCAUUCCCAAUUAAUUUUUUAAAAGUAACUUUUCAUGAAAGACAAUUAAUUUUAUGCAUUUCCUUAUCUUAUUCUUGUUCCUCCCUCAAAUUUAGUAGAAUUACCUUAAAGGUAUAACAUUUUAUAAGACUAAAAAUAUGACAAGAAAUUCCGCUGAAGGUGUUGGCAGAAGGAUUUGUAUUGGACUGUGUUUUUCCUGGCAACACGAAGCAAAACUAUACAUACACACAAACGCACACACACACAAAGAUACACAAACAUAAUAACCAU
rnacentral:lncRNA from 10 species